GUGCUCACUUCAGCAGCGCAUGUACUGAAAUUGGAACGAUAUAGAGAAGAUUGGCAUGGCCCCUGUGCAAGAAUGAUACACAAAUUUGUGAAGCAUUCAACUUGUCC